CCAAGGAUAUCUAGCCUCCUGGGGAGGUCCCAUGCUGAGUGACCGUGGGAAUACUGGAUUAACUGUGUGGUCCUGACUCCUGUAGUGUCCCCUUGAGGUAUUUGCUUUACCUUUUGAAGGUCCCGGUACCAGUUUCGACUGUGACCGUUUAUAGUGUAUUUUGUUCCAUUGCAAAAUGGGAGACCUGGAGAAAUCUGAGAAGCUUAGUGGUGACCACUGUUGGGACUGUCGAACACUUAAGCUUCGAGCUGCUGGGUAAGAGCAAGGUACCCUGGGUAAGAGUUGUCAGAGAUGGGUGUGUGGGCACGAGGUCACACUGCUCUCACAGUGGAUCACGAUUUUGGGGCAUGUGCCAUGACUGUGUGAACAGUAUCAUCUGCAUACCCUCACUGGAGAUAUAUUAUGCCCAAUCAUACACUCUUAAAUUGUUAAAGAUUUUACUUGUGUAGCACUUGCUAAGAAAGGUCAUUUUAUUUUGUUUAGUAGGUUUUUUAGUUGGCUAAAGAAGCUGCAUAAUUCAAUGCAAUUGCGAAAUUCUUUCAUUGAACUUAAAAUACUGAUUCUCAGUGAAUCUAUAUAUUUCAUAACUUGAUAUACAAAAAAUAGGUUGGGACAAAUUCAACAAUUAUUACUGUAUAGACUUCAUCAAUCAAACUGUAGAUCUAGAUAUAUGAAAUAAAAUAAAAUCCUAGGCUCAAAUAGCUGAAAACUCAAAAAAGUAUAUACAUAUAUAUAGUCACAGGUUAAAAUCCCAGACAACUUAAAAAUAAUCCUAUGCUCACAAUCACAUAGUUUAAAAUCGUAGACUUUCAUCCCUUAAAACCCUAAACACACAUUUCUUUCAAGUUUUUUACGUUCUGAAUUAUAUGUUUCAUUUUUACUAAUAAAUUGAUGAAACUGCUUUCCAGAAUUUGUUAUUGCAUCAUCGGUAGAAGCUUCUAAUUCUGAUUUUAGACUUAUUUCUCCUUCGAAGAGUUUUUUUUUCUCUCUCUCUAAAGUCUUAAAAAAGAUUAGCUUUCCAUGAUGGUGUCGGGCUUUUUCAGUUUGAUUUAAAGACCUUUUUCUUCCUUCGAAUGAGUCAUUCCGCUGCAAGUCUGUUGCAUAAUCAUUAGCCUCAUAUUUCUUGAAACUAACUUUUUUUCUUCCUUUCUUUAAAGUCUAUUAAAUAAUCACUAUCCUUAACUUGCUCCUAGGCUUUAUUAGAAAUAAAAUUUUAUUUUUCUUCCAACGGUUAGCAUCGUCGACAAUAAAAUAGCCUAGAGCUUCAAAGCAAUAAAAUGUUGACAAACAACUGUUGACUGAAGCAGACGCCUCCUGACCCCUUGGAGUUCCUCCCUCCGGCGGUCUCUAGAGUCACUGCUCCCUCCAGACUUGGUCUCCUUCAGGGCAGCAGGGCGGAGUAAUCUGGGAGUAGACGAGAGCCGGGAGUCUGCUGUAGUCUGGAGUAAUUGGGGAGUAGGUUGGAUAGGUAGGCGCUGGGAGGAUGGCGUCUUGACUCGGCUUUUUGGACAAAUUCUCUGGCGUUGGAGGUUUCCUCCUUUUGGCGUCUUCUUUCUGGUGUAAUGUAGCUCCUGUAAAAUAUAAAGAAAAUACUCUUAUUAAAAAAUUUC